rnacentral:rRNA from 1 species
GUGGGGAAUAUUGGGCAAUGGGGGAAACCCUGACCCAGCAACGCCGCGUGAAGGAAGAAGGUUUUCGGAUCGUAAACUUCUAUCCUUGGUGAAGAUAAUGACGGUAGCCAAGAAGGAAGCCCCGGCUAACUACGUGCCAGCAGCCGCGGUAAUACGUAGGGGGCAAGCGUUGUCCGGAAUGAUUGGGCGUAAAGGGCGCGUAGGCGGCCUGGUAAGUCUGGAGUGAAAGUCCUGCUUUUAAGGUGGGAAUUGCAUUGGAUACUGUCGGGCUUGAGUGCAGGAGAGGUAAGCGGAAUUCCCGGUGUAGCGGUGAAAUGCGUAGAGAUCGGGAGGAACACCAGUGGCGAAGGCGGCUUACUGGACUGUAACUGACGCUGAGGCGCGAAAGUGUGGGGAGCAAACAGGAUUAGAAACCCCAGUAGUCC